GUGGGGAAUAUUGGACAAUGGGCGAAAGCCUGAUCCAGCAAUGCCGCGUGGGUGAAGAAGGUCUUCGGAUCGUAAAGCCCUUUCGACGGGGACGAUGAUGACGGUACCCGUAGAAGAAGCCCCGGCUAACUUCGUGCCAGCAGCCGCGGUAAUACGAAGGGGGCUAGCGUUGCUCGGAAUUACUGGGCGUAAAGGGCGCGUAGGCGGCGGCCCAAGUCAGGCGUGAAAUUCCUGGGCUCAACCUGGGGACUGCGCUUGAUACUGGGUUGCUUGAGGAUGGAAGAGGCUCGUGGAAUUCCCAGUGUAGAGGUGAAAUUCGUAGAUAUUGGGAAGAACACCGGUGGCGAAGGCGGCGAGCUGGUCCAUUACUGACGCUGAGGCGCGACAGCGUGGGGAGCAAACAGG
rnacentral:rRNA from 1 species